ensembl:lncRNA
GGUGGAGACGGGUAGGUUUAGCGGUGGAAAUGUGAUCCAGGGGGUGGAGACGGGUAGGUUUAGCGGUGGAGAUGAGAUCCAGCGGGUGGAGAAGGCUAGGUUUAGGGAUAUGUAAAGUGGGAGGAGUUGGAUCUCGAGUUGGAGUUGGUGCACCACAGUAAUACCGGUGUACUUACAUGGUAACUCCUCAGGAACUGUCCACUUAAUAUAAAGUGUAACAUUCUGGACACCAACCACAAUUUAUAUGUAAAGCCUAACUUACUGGCUGCUGCUGUGUAACAUCAGAGUAAUUACAUGAUAGAUCUAAUAUAAAGUGUAACACUUUCUUUACCAAAAAGUCCGGUUAGUCCUGUUACACGUUUGUACUU